rnacentral:rRNA from 1 species
AGACGACGCUGGCGGCGUGCUUAACACAUGCAAGUCGUACGAGAAAGUUGGCUUCGGCCGAUGAGUAAAGUGGCGCACGGGUGAGUAAUGCGUGGAUAAUCUGCCCUUUAGUUGGGAAUAACGUACCGAAAGGUGCGCUAAUACCUGAUAAUACUGCAUAACUACUGUUGUGUAGUCAAAGAAGGCCUCUGUUUACAAGCUUUUGCUGAAGGAUGAGUCCGCGUACCAUUAGCUGGUUGGUGGGGUAAUGGCCUACCAAGGCUACGAUGGUUAGCUGGUCUGAGAGGAUGAUCAGCCACACUGGAACUGAGACACGGCCCAGACUCCUACGGGAGGCAGCAGUGGGGAAUAUUGCACAAUGGGCGAAAGCCUGAUGCAGCGACGCCGCGUGAGGGAUGACGGCCUUCGGGUUGUAAACCUCUUUCAGCAGGGAAGAAGCGAAAGUGACGGUACCUGCAGAAGAAGCACCGGCUAACUACGUG